CUCAAUACUAUUUUUUUUAAAUAAAAGCAGCACUAAUCGUAUUGUUUCUGGUGCAAUUUUGAUAAAUGUAUUUAGGAGUCAUCCAGUACAUGUUUCAGUAUUAACUUAGAAACAUGUAAAAGUAAAAAAAUCAACCCUAACACUUUGAACAAUAAAAAGUUUCUGUACCAUGUGGAUGAAUAAUCAAGGUCUAAAUCUGAGUCAAGACAAACUACAUUCGAUCUAACAGGAACCAUAAAAAAAUACAUGUAUGUCAGCAACACCCCAUUUGACAAGUAAAAUUAAUGACGAGGUUACAGAGACUAUUCUUUCUUUUUUUUUUCAGAUAUCUUUUGAUCCUCUUCAUCUUCGUACUUUAUUUUAUCGUUUUUACGUUUUUUAUUCGAGUUUCUCUGAUAUAUCUUUUAUAAACGAAACGGUCAUCUGGUGUGCAGAAUUUACAGCCUGGUUUCUAUGAUCACUUUUGUUCGGCAUAUUUUUUAAUGUUAAUCAUAACCUCAUUCGCACUUUCUGUUGUUUAGACCUCAGUUGAUCAAGAUACCCACAAUUAACUCAAAUAUCUUUGUCCAUUCUUGUUUAUCUUGUAGUUGAUAAGUCUGUUUGUUUUACUUUUGAUUUAUGAUAAAGAAGAUCAUUAAAUACAUUAAAUACAAUUUAUUAUAUUUUUUUUUUUAAAUGGUAAAACCUUUGUUGUCGUCUGUAUACAUUUGUUUAAUCAAUGUGUACCUAUAUAAUAAACCAGUCAAUUGUCAUAAAACAACAGAAUCCUUAUUCGGACCUCUUUGACUAGUUAUUCCUAUACAAUUGUCGAUAUCACAGAAUAAAAUCAUUGUAAAACAACAAUUGCCUGAUUACCUAAAGCAUUACGUAAGUGUGAUUGAUUUUUCUUUCAUUUCCAUUCACAGAAAGGUUCGAUCGAACAUUUUACAUCAUCAAUGCAUCAUAAUUGGAUUAGGUUUGUUUCAUUUACAUACAACAGGGUUAGGAGGACAGGAUUAUCGAUUCCAGUUAUUUCAUCUUCUAUUUGUGGCAAUGGGGAAAAUCGCACAAAAAACCAAAAAACGCCUUCUUGUUUUUAAAAUGGGCUUUAAAAGUACAAGUUAAUGUAAAGUUAAGUAUUUGUAUCUUAGAUUAUGAUAUGAUGACUAAAAUAUCUUUUCUUUACUAGAAACUAACAAGACAGUAUACGUCUAUGAAUACUAUGAAUUCAAGUUGCUGAGGUAAAUUUCCUUUCAAUUUUACAGUUUUUGAUAGGCAAACAUUUUUCUACAAAUACAAGCGAGCUAGUAUUUAUAUAUAUUUCCCUAUUAAGUCAUGUUAUAUAUACAUGCUUAUCAAAUGGGACAACAAGAAAUAAAAAAUUAUUAACCAGAGCC
rnacentral:lncRNA from 1 species